CGCGGCGAACGGUCGCGUAACACGUAAGCAACCUGCCCGAAAGACCGGGACAACGUUUCGAAAGGAACGCUAAUACCGGAUGUGACCGUCUGUUUACCUGAGCGGACGAUUAAAGCGCGAAAGUGGCUUUCGGAGGGGCUUGCGGCCUAUCAGCUAGAUGGCGGGGUAACGGCCCACCAUGGCGACGACGGGUAGCUGGUCUGAGAGGAUGGUCAGCCGGACUGGGACUGAGAUACGGUCCAG
rnacentral:rRNA from 1 species